rnacentral:lncRNA from 1 species
AAAAAAUACACGUUUAUAUUUUGACACGUGUGAAUAUUAAAAAAAGCGGACAAAAAAUUUAUUUCGGAUUUAAAGUGAAAUGGAAACUCUUAUAUAAGGAGGAAGUGAGGGAGCACCUAGAUCCAAAACAAUAAUGGAAAAUUGGAUAAAAAAUGGGGAAAUUAAAAUUAGGGUUUGGAAAUGAAUAAUAAAAAAAAUUAAGAAAAAAAUAAAAGAAGAAAGAUGAAUUUUGUUUUGUGUGUUGUGUUAGUGUAUGAUUAACGAAUGAAUGUGAUAUGUAUCCUUAAAUGAAAAAAUUACCCUUUAACUUCCUUUUGGAUUUAUAAAUUUAUCAUUACAGAGAAACUGUUUAUGACAAAAUUAUCCUUUAUGACAAAUUACCUUUUAACUUCCUCUUUGUCUUUAUAAAUUUAUCAUUAAGAGAAAACUUUUUUAUAUUUUAUUUUUCUACUCAUCACCACAUAAUAAAACCAACCUUCAUGUACAUUUGAGAUCAAUUAACCGCUACAUAAUUUCUUGGUUUCAUUCUCUCAACCGACCAUCAUUCUCUUGACAGUUACAAUUUUAUUUGCUCAACCGCUCAUCAUCCUUUUGGAAGUCAUGAUUUCAUUCUCUCAACUACUCAUCAUCCUCUCGGCGGCUCUCAAUGCUUUGAAAUUAAAAUUUUAUCUAUCUUCAUCCCACAAAAGAAAAAUUUAAACUUUAAGAGCUUUCAUAUGAAGGUUCCUCCUUAUCCAUAUUCAAUAUAACUUUUUUUCACCAUUCUCUUCCAUAAUAUAUUCAUUAAACUUAUAAUGGGGAAAUUUGUAGGUGAUAGAGAGUCGGUUGCAAAGGUAUGAUAUGCGAUCGAAGGGCAGUCUUUGACAAGAAACAUAUAGGUUUUGUAGGCCUGUCCCAUGGUGGAGAUGAAAACACAACGCAAAGCAUGGUGCAUAUACUACUGACUCAGAAAAUGUCAUUCAUGGUGACAGUGAGAUUUUCUUUUACAUAUUCUGUAGUCUCUUUUAUUUCAUUUGUAUUUUAUUAUAUUUCUUCUUUUAAUAAUAAGAAUAUUUUUAACCUCUGUUUUGAUAAUGGUUUUUCUAUUCCGGAGCUUGCAUAUGGGGAUUAUUUCUUUACAUUUUACAAACUGUGUUAUUCAUAAUCAAAUUUAUCUUUGGUAUAUAGAUGUUGUUAAUAACAAAAUUCUCUUUCCAAAAAUCAUAAAGGUUCAAUAUGGACCCAAAGAUGAAUUUGGAGUGUUUCUCACUUCCCAUUUUCUAAACAGCAUCUAACUUGAAUUGAAAUAUGUCAAAUUUUGUCUCUCUAUUCAACUUAAACAACAAUUUUCUCUUGCAAUUACACAUAUAAAUUUUUUUUCCAAAUCUAUAUUAACUUUUUUUUUCUUGACAGUAAAGAUUAACAUUUAGUUGUGAACAUAAUGCUAUAAAUAUGAAUAUUUCGUUUACCUGCUAUUGAAUCAAACUCUUUUAUUUGUUUAGUUUUUCUUUUCUGAUGGUAAAUACUAAAUAUAGAGUUUUUAAUGAGUUUGGUGAAAGUAUAUAUAUAGUUAUAGUUUAAGCAUUUUGGUGUAGCUUUAUGUUUGAUGGUGAUAUAAGAGUAUUUUAGGAACCACAAUACAAGUUACAACAGAGUGAGGUUUCAAUAAAAUUUUGGAGUUUUGUUUUAUAUUACUUUCCUUUCUCCAUAUAAAAGGACAAUUUUCUCAUUGAAAAUCAAAAGUGAAGUAACAACGUUAUUGUUGUUGUGUUGUAAACUUUUGAUAAGAGAAUACUUUCUAGAUAAUGACUAAAGAAUUGUAGGGUUGUCACUUUCUAUCUUUUCUUUUUUCUUUAUAAUAUUUCAACUUAAUUUAGAUUUUUUCCCCAACUUUGGUUGCAUUUUUCAUAUAUUUAUUUUUCAAUAUUUUCAAUUAUAGUGUAAAAAUCAUUUCAAUGAAAUCAAAUGGAAAAGUCAAAAAUAAUGUUAGGCCUACUGGAAUUGAAAUGCAUAUUUAGUAUAUUCAAUGUAUCCAUUAUGCAUCCUUAUACAUCAAUCAAUGUGAAUCAAAGUUUAAUUAAUAGAACAGAAAAUUAAAAUGAUAGUAUGUCUAUUUAAUUUAAUCACAUAAAAAAUAUCUAUGAAAUUAAUAUAUUUGAUACUUUUAUAUAAUUUUUUUAUUAAUGUUCUUAAAUUGUGAAGGAAGAGAGAGAGAGAGAGAGAGAGAGAGAGAGAGAGAGAGAGAGAGAGAGGAGAUAAAUCAUAUCACAAAGUUUUUUUACAAAAACAAUUUAUAUUAACAUCAAAAUUAAACAAAAAAUACACGUUUAUAUUUUGACACGUGUGAAUAUUAAAAAAAGCCGACAAAAAAUUUAUUUGGAUUGAAAGUGAAAUGGAAACUCUUAUAUAAGGAGGAAGUGAGGGAGCACCUAGAUCCAAAACAAUAAUGGAAAAUUGGAUAAAAAAUGGGGAAAUUAAAAUUAGGGUUUGGAAAUGAAUAAUAAAAAAAAAUAAGAAAAAAAUAAAGGAAGAAAGAUGAAUUUUGUUUUGUGUGUUGUGUUAGUGUAUGAUUGACGAAUGAAUGUGAUAUGUAUCCUUAAAUGGAAAAAUUACCCUUUAACUUCCUCUUUGGAUUUAUAAAUUUAUCAUUACAGAGAAAACUGUUUUAUGACAAAAUUACCUUUUAACUUCCUCUUUGUCUUUAUAAAUUUAUCAUUACAGAGAAAAUUGUUUUUAUAUUUUAUGUUUCUAGUCAUCACCACAUAAUAAAACUAACCUUCAUGUACAUUUGAGAUCAAUUAACCGCUACAAAAUUUCUUGGUUUCAUUCUCUCAACCGACCAUCAUUCUCUUGACAGUUACAAUUUUAUUUGCUCAACCGCUCAUCAUCCUUUUGGAAGUCAUGAUUUCAUUCUCUCAACUACUCAUCAUCCUCUCGGCGGCUCUCAAUGCUUUGAAAUUAAAAUUAUUCUAUCUUCAUCCCACAAAAGAAAAUUUAAACUUUAAGAGCUUUCAUAUGAAGGUUCCUCCUUAUCCAUAUUCAAUUAUAACUUUUUUUCACCAUUCUUUCCAUAAUAUAUUCAUUAAACUUAUUAAUGGGGAAAUUUGUGAGGUGAUAGAGAGUCGGUUGCAAAGGUAUGAUAUGCGAUCGAAGGGCGAGUCUUUGACAAGAAACAUAUAGGUUUUUGUAGGCCUGUCCCAUUGUGGAGAUGAACACCAAUGCAAAAGCAUGGUGCAUAUACUACUAACUCAGAAAAUGUCAUUCAUGGUGACAGUGAGAUUUUAUUUUACAUAUUUUGUAGUCUCUUUUAUUUCAUUUGUAUUUUGAUUAUAUUUCUUCUUUUAAUAAUAACAAUAUUUUUAACCUCUGUUUUCAUAAUGGUUUUUCUAUUCCGGAGCUUGCAUGUGGGGGAUUAUUUCUUUACAUUUUUACAAACUGUGUUAUUCAUAAUCAAAUUUAUCACUGGUAUAUAGAUGUUGUUAAUAACAAAGAUUCUCUCAUUCCAAAAAUCAUAAAGGUUCAAUAUGGACCCAAAGAUGAAUUUGGAGUGUUUCUCAGUUCCCAUUUUCUAAACAGCAUCUAACUUGAAUUGAAAUAUGUCAAAUUUUGUCUCUCUAUUCAACUUAAACACAAUAUUUUCUCUUGCAAUUACACAUAUAACUUUUUUUUCCAAAUCUAUAUUAACUUUUUUAUUCUUGCCAGUAAAGAUUAACAUUUAGUUGUGAACAUAAUGCUAUAAAUAUGAAUAUUUCGUUUAACUGCUAUUGAAUCAAACUCUUUUAUUUGUUUAGUUUUUCUUUUCUGAUGGUAAAUACUAAAUAUAGAGUUUUUAAUGAGUUUGGUGAAAGUACAUAUAUAGUUAUAGUUUAAGCAUUUUGGUGUAGCUUUAUGUUUGAUGGUGAUAUAAGAGUAUUUUAGGAACCACAAUACAAGUUACAACAGAGUGAAGUUUCAAUAAAAUUUUGGAGUUUGGUUUUAUAUUACUUUCCUUUCUCCAUAUAAAAGGACAAUUUUCUCAUUUGGAAAAUCAAAAGUGAAGUAACAACGUUAUUGUUGUUGUGUUGUAAACUUUUGAUAAGAGAAUACUUUCUAGAUAAUGACUAAAGAAUUGUAGGGUUGUCACUUUCUAUCUUUUCUUUUUUCUUUAUAAUAUUUCAACUUAAUUUAGAUUUUUUCCCCAACUUUGGUUGCAUUUUUCAUAUAUUUAUUUUUCAAUAUUUUCAAUUAUAGUGUAAAAAUCAUUUCAAUGAAAUCAAAUGGAAAAGUCAAAAAUAAUGUUAGGCCUACUGGAAUUGAAAUGCAUAUUUUAGUAUAUGCAAUGUAUCCAUUAAUGCAUCCUUAUAACAUCAAUCAAUGUGAAUCAAAGUUUAAUUAAUAGAACAGAAAAUUAAAAUGAUAGUAUGUCUAUUUAAUUUAAUCACAUAAAAAAUAUCUAUGAAAUUUAAUAUAUUUGAUACUUUUAUAUAAUUUUUUUAUUAAUGUUCUUAAAUUGUGAAGGAAGAGAGAGAGAGAGAGAGAGAGAGAGAGAGAGAGAGAGAGAGAGAGAGAGGAGAUAAAUCAUAUCACAAAGUUUUUUACAAAAACAGUUUAUAUUAAAAUCAAAAUUAAACAAAAAAUACACGUUUAUAUUUUGACACGUGUGAAUAUUAAAAAAAGCGGACAAAAAAUUUAUUCGGAUUUAAAGUGAAAUGGAAACUCUUAUAUAAGGAGGAAGUGAGGGAGCACCUAGAUCCAAAACAAUAAUGGAAAAUUGGAUAAAAAAUGGGGAAAUUAAAAUUAGGGUUUGGAAAUGAAUAAUAAAAAAAAUUAAGAAAAAAAUAAAGGAAGAAAGAUGAAUUUUGUUUUGUGUGUUGUGUUAGUGUAUGAUAAACUAAUGAAUGUGAUAUGUAUCCUUAAAUGAAAAAAUUACCCUUUAACUUCCUCUUUGGAUUUAUAAAUUUAUCAUUACAGAGAAAAUUGUUUUAUGACAAAAUUAUCCUUUAUGACAAAAUUACCUUUUAACUUCCUCUUUGUCUUUAUAAAUUUAUCAUUACAGAGAAAACUGUUUUUAUAUUUUAU